rnacentral:rRNA from 1 species
ACACGGCCCAGACUCCUACGGGAGGCAGCAGUGGGGAAUAUUGGACAAUGGGGGCAACCCUGAUCCAGCAAUGCCGCGUGUGUGAAGAAGGCCUUCGGGUUGUAAAGCACUUUUAUCCGGAACGAAACGCGCAGGGUGAAUAUCCUUGCGAACUGACGGUACCGGAGGAAUAAGCACCGGCUAACUUCGUGCCAGCAGCCGCGGUAAUACGAAGGGUGCAAGCGUUACUCGGAAUUACUGGGCGUAAAGGGUGCGUAGGUGGUUGUUUAAGUCUGUUGUGAAAGCCCCGGGCUCAACCUGGGAAUGGCAAUGGAUACUGGACAGCUAGAGUGCGGUAGAGGGUAGUGGAAUUCCCGGUGUAGCAGUGAAAUGCGUAGAGAUCGGGAGGAACACCAGUGGCGAAGGCGGCUACCUGGACCAGCACUGACACUGAAGCACGAAAGCGUGGGGAGCAAACAGGAUUAGAUACCCUGGUAGUCCACGCCCUAAACGAUGCGAACUGGACGUUGGGAGCAACUUGGCUCUCAGUGUCGAA